rnacentral:lncRNA from 1 species
AAUAAAUGUAAACACAUGAAUAGAAAGUAAAUCAAGAGUAUGGACAGUCAUAGGAUUGCACACAAUAAGCGAUACAUUAUUUUUUCUUUGAUACAUGUAAAUGAUAUACUAGUUAACUAUAUAGUCAAAAUGAACCAGAAUGACUCUAUGAAUUAAGCAAACAUCCGAAAAAAUAUAAUACAAACAUUAAAAUUUAAUAUAACAACAC